UUUCGCUGCCCGCGCCCGUUCUCUUCUUGUUCCCCCCACUUCGCUUUUCCUUUUGCCCCACUUCACCGGGAUCCGGGCACCGUCAUCGGCCGCAGAUUGGGAUUGUCGCGGCCCGGGACAUCGCCAUCUCCGUCGUCGCCGCCCCCGCGCCGUCCUUUUGCUGGCCUUCUCCCUCCCGUCCUCGACGACCCUUCGUCUCCGCCGAAGUCCGCCAUAGCCUCGUCGGCUUUUGGACGACGACCCCCCGCCUCCGCGGUCUGGUAGCCUCGUCGUCGGCUUUUGGACGACGAACCCUACGUCUUCGCGGUCGGGUAGCCUCGUCUUCGGCUUUUGGACAACUACCCCUCUUCGGGCACUCAUCGGCUUUUGGAAGACGACCCCUCCGUCUCCACGCAGAGGGAACGCAAUUUGUUUGGAAGGGCACAAGGAAAAGUUAUUUGCCUGAGCGUUUCCAGUUUGGAGCUAUCUGAAUUCAAUCAAACCGAAAGGUUUGCUGCCAUAUCCCAGUCCAGGGCUAGCUUGCUCUGCAUCCUUGCAAGUUCUCUCUAGGAAUUGACUUACAAUGGAUCACCCACUUCCGAGUUAUUGGAACCAGAUUGUGUUUGGCUUUCGAGACAGUGUUGUUAUUAUCGGUGACAUGCAAGGAACAGGAUUUUUGAUAGGCUCCAAAGACAGAAGACGUCUUAUCUUGACAUGCUGCCAUGUCGUAGCGGGUAGUGCUUAUAAAGCUAAAUUGCGAGAUGAAUAUUUGGUCCAAGUUUGCAUUACUGGAUAUGGUUUGUGUUCUGGCCAGAUACUACUUGCUGACGAUGAGAGAGAUGUGGCAUUAAUUGUGGUUACUACAGAUUGUGAUGGUCUUCCAAUGAUUGAACUACCUAAUUUGGAAUUAUCUGAUCGGGUUGUCAAGAAGGAUAUGGAAUUAGUCAUGUUGGGUUAUAUUUUCAUGCCUAAGGGUGUAAUUAAAGAACCAGGAACUUCUUACGGCAAAUCAAAGGCCAGCAUGUAUCACAAUUCUUUAGUGGGGUGUGAUAUAUUGCCGGUGUCAUAUGUAUCAACCCCUGGGACUUCGGGAGCACCUGUUUUCCUUGUUCAGAAAGGAAGUAGUCCAGAGGUAAUAGGAAUGCAUGCUGGAAGAGUGCAGGGCACUCAAUAUUGUAUUCCAAUGCCAGUGAUAGAAGAAAGUUUGCGCCAGUUGAGUACAAAGAAGGGCCUCUCAAUUCCUGAAAUGAUUGAGAAGAUCCUUUCAGCAGUGUGUCGAAGGAAGUAGGAAUUGCUCAUACACUUAUUAAAGUGGGACCAAAUGGACAGACCUUGUUGCUGAUGCGGAGAGACGUAAAUGUAUUUUCAGUGCCACUAAUGACGCAACCAUCUGUAAGUUGGUGUUGCAAGUAAGCAAGAGCUUGAUGAACUUGAGGAUCUUAAUGCUGAUUCAGGGGUUUUCAGCAAUACCAGAUGGAAGGUCAUUCUUAGCGACGAGUUUAGAAAGUCUUUCACCAAACUAAAAUCACCACAGCUCAGGAAGGAAGUACUCCAAAAGCUUAUCAAACUUGAAGAUGAUUGGAGGAGAACAGUUAAGAACCUUGAGAUGCCUGGUGCUUCUCAUCUUGCGAAAGUAUACAAGGUCUGGGACCUGUAUCUUGUUUGGACUACUGACGUGAAGAAAACCGAAAGAACGUAUUCCCAGAUAAUAAGAAUUUGGGACCUAUUGUCACAGCAGAAUGUUGCAAGAACUGUUCAACGUCUCGAGAAUCUGUUCUCCAUGUACACGGAUGAUUACCUGGAUCAUUGCAAGAGAGUGGAGACACAGGGGAAACUGGAGGUUCCUAUGGUUUUGGUCUUUGGGAUGUUGUGCAUGAUGUUAUCCGCUAUAACAUGGAUUGCAAAGUUGAUUCUUAUGAAGAGCAUGAUCUCGUGGAUACAUCAUAUGCCAUGAAGAAUCCAAAAACUGAUGAAGGGCAGGUGGUUAUCCAAUUCCUGCUCACUAUUUUUAUACUUGGGAGGUCAGGCAGUGGAAAAACCUACCUUACACUCUAUGAAGCUCUGUCUGACUUACCAUUGUGUUCCUUGCAUUGCCAUAGGUAUGGUCUACAUGCAAAAUGGUACUUCUAAAAUUGAGGAAGCUGGUGACUGUUUUGCUAGGGCUGAGUGCUGGUCGGAGACAGCUGAAAUAUUCUUUAAAGCUAAAUGUUACACCAAGUGUUUCUCCAUGUGCUCGAAUGGAAAACAAUUAUACAAUCUGGGCUUGCAGUUUCUGCAACAGUUAAGAGGAGGAACAUUCACUUGAGAAUUCAACAUCCUUGGAGGUUUCUGCAAUUAGAACGAAGUAUCUGGAAAAUUGCGCUCAGCAUUAUUUUGAGCGUGCUGACAUAAAGCAUAUGAUGCCCUUUGUUAAAGCUUUCAGCUCUAUGGAUCACGUUUAUAAAUUCUAGAAAUCUAUGUCAAGUUUAGAGAUGGAAAUGGGAAAUUUCCUAGAAGCUGUAGGAAUACCAAAGCAUAAAGGAGAUGUCUUAUUGGAGGUAGAUAUACCCGAGAAAGCAGAUUUGUUUGAGGACGCAACAUGGCUUCUCCAUAUCAUUGUGGAUUCCUUGUGGUCUUCAAAUAGUAGAGGAUGGCCUCCCAAAAGAUAUGCAGAGAAGGAGCAGUUGCUUGCAAAAGCCAAAGAGAUGGCAGAAAAGGUCUCUGAGUGCUUCUACUUACUGCUUUGUUUGCAUGGAAGCUGAUGGACUGUCAGAUGGGAAAAAGUCCCUUUCCAGUUUGAGUUGCACUUUGCUUGAGGGCAGAAAAUGUGCAAACUUGUUAGUUGGACUUGUUGCUUCCUGUUCGAUCCUUGAUGUUCAUCUUCAAUCUCGAGCCUCUGGAUACAAGAUAUAAUCAGGACCAGGAUCUGAAGAUGAAAAUAGCUGCAAUGACAUGCUGGCCUCUAACCAGAUGUCACCCCAAACUCUGUUUUGUGUCUGGAAUCACUGGAAGACGAUCAUAAUCAAAGUACUAUCUCAUCUUUGCCACACUGAUGGUCCAGAAUUAAAUGAUUAUGCAGUUGUUUAAGAAGAUCUUUGCGCCAAGUACUUUGGAUUGAGAAAAGAUGGUGAAGUUGACAGAUAUGUGGUGCUGAACAUGAAUGCAAGUUGGCUUUCCAAUGCUGACAGGAAUUCUUUGCAGCAAGACGGGAACAGAUGUUUAUUGGGUGCCCCUCAGUGUCGUUCAUGUGCUCAGUGUUUCUUGAUGAAUGAGCUGUCUUCUGUUGGUUUCAGUGUACUUAAGAAGUUGGAAUCGAUUGUUCAAAUUUCUCCAAAGCCGGCAUCUUCGCAUACCCUGGUGAGAACUAUCCUUAUCAUACAUGAGAUAGCAAAGUUUUUUGAAGAACCAGAGUUCAGUAUGCCAAAAGGUUCCAUGAAGUUAAGAAGCUUUUUUGUUCUCUGUGGGUGUUGAUUCUUUGAGUUAGUUUUUCUUGUGUGGAGAGAUGGGACAAUGAGGAGCCUCUUGCAUCUACUUGACUCGCCAGCUGCAUAUGGAUUGGUUGCUGAUUCUCUUGGUGCAGAUCUUCACCCAGCAAAUAAAAAAUUGACUCAUGGGCAUCUUGGGAGAACAACCAUGCUUCUGCUUCAUGCAGCACAAUUGGACGAAGUGCUACUUUCAAGACUACUACAGUACCUGGGCAAUAAUUCUAAGUGGGCAGAUUUUUUUUGAUAUUUCAAGAUAUUUCUUGACAGUGGUCGGGAUAGAUCCUCCUUGAUCUUCAACUUUAAGCUUGCUCGAGUGUACCUUCAGUGUAAAGUGGAAGGAUGAACUGGACUACAUAUCCCCACCAUGCUAUGUGGGACUGUGGGUCUUAUGGAGUGCCUUGGUUUCUUGGCUUCAUCAUGCUUACUACAGAAUGAUUUUAUAUGCUGCACGAGAUCUCUGUUGGUCAAUAUGCUGGAAUGCCGUACCAGCAAGGCUUUACACUGACACCUGCCUGGUAUCUAAGUCAUGCUCAGAUUCCAAUCUUGAUGGUUUGGCACACUCAUCAGGCCGUUUCAUAUAUGAGACGAUUGCGACUAUCUUGAUGGCCAAGCAUAUGCUCCAGGAAUGGGUACAUAGGACUUCAUGUCCUUCCAGUACUUCAUACACUGAACGAGCUUGUAGACAGGAUCAAAGACGAGACCAGAUGUUGGGCAAAGGCUGGAGCUCAAGGGCUCAGGGUCGUUUUGCCAUCAUCCUGGGACGUGCACUGAGCCUCUGUUGUCUGUGUGUACAAACCGCCUCCUAGGAGGAUGUAAAUACCCUCUCUUUCCAAUGCAAUGAAACGCAAAGGCCAUUUGCGUUUUCUCGAAAAAAAAAAAAGUACUUCAUACAAAGCAGUCCUCCUGUGACUAGUUGUUACACUUUACCUUCUGAUCCUUACUCUUUCUCUGGGGAAGUGCUAUGAGGUCACACAUAACCUUGUGAGGAAUGAAAUCUUUAAGGAUUUACCUUUGGACUUCUCUAAGAAGAUUGAAGAUGCUUUGAAAAUGAGGUCUCGCACACCUAGCAACUUCACAAGAGUGCUUGCUGAUGCACUUGCCGCAAUCGGAGAUCGUAUGGUAGUUAUUGGUUCACCCGAAGCCCCAGUAAUCUGUCGAAACUUGAAUCCUUGUAUGAUUAGCAAGGAGGAUUUGCAUGAUGUUCCGAAGAUAAUGGCUCUUUGUGUCUUGAAGAAUCAAAUUCUGUAAAGCAAGAUACUCCAUUGCCACAACAAACUGAUGGUAGCAAGUGUCUUGAAGAACCAAGUUCUGUAAAGCAAGAGACUCCAUUUCCUGAAAAAUCUGACGGUAGCAAGUUCAAAAAUGUUAUUUCUGGAAACAUUCUUGUGACGGUAGAGAUAGUAAAGAUAUGGAUCAGUCCGAGAAAGAGAAGUUCAACCGAUGUCCUUGUGCCUGUAUAGAGGUAUUAAAAGGUAGAGGGUUCGAGCAAGACAGAUUCAACUGGUAUCUUUGACACUCUCUGGAAGAAGCUUGAGACUUUUCUACUCGAUGAGCAAGACCAGAAAGAUGCAAGGGCUGUCUUUCAAUUUCUUAGAGACGCCCUUCCAUGGCUGGAGCAAACAGGCGUUCUAGCAUAGAUUGAUAAAGAACUUGAUGAACACAUUCUGGAAGAGGUCAAGCACAUCUGCAGUGAGUUUGAAAAACUCUCCGACAGGAUGGACAAAAAAGAUGUGGAUGACCUAUACACAAAGUGGGAAGGUGCUGGGAAGACACUGCAGCCGGUCAUCCGCCUUGUGAGUGGUACAGGAAUAUGCAUGAAUGAUUGUAGUGAAUGCAGGAAGUGAAGGUGCAAGGAAAAGGAGAAAGACCCCAGGUUCCCAUCCUCUGCAUUCUGAAGGUGCCCACAGCCAGUUUAUACAAAACUUGUCCAGAUGAUGAGCGAGCUGACACGGGAGAAGCUGCCUCGACUUCAACAAAGGUGGCGCAGAAGCAGAAAGCAAGAAGAAAUCCAAGGAAGCAAAGAAGUCUGACAAGGGCCGUGGGAAGAAGUGAGCUGAUGUAGUUACUUUCCCGCCUUCAAAAAAUAUUUGCGUGCACCGGAGAAGCUUGUACGUAAAACCAUUGGAGAAGACAGCAGAAAUGUGUUGCUUCGUGUCUGACCAGGGAAUGCAACUUUUGAACCGGCACAAGACAGAUGCACCCAUGCAUCACGGUGAAGUUCCCGCUAAAUUAUUUAUGGUGAUUGAAUGUGC